rnacentral:rRNA from 1 species
GAGUUUGAUCCUGGCUCAGAUUGAACGCUGGCGGCAGGCUUAACACAUGCAAGUCGAGCGGGGAAAGGUAGCUUGCUACCUUACCUAGCGGCGGACGGGUGAGUAAUGCUUAGGAAUCUGCCUAUUAGUGGGGGACAACAUCUCGAAAGGGAUGCUGAUACCGCAUACGUCCUACGGGAGAAAGCAGGGGACCUUCGGGCCUUGCGCUAAUAGAUGAGCCUAAGUCGGAUUAGCUAGUUGGUGGGGUAAAGGCCUACCAAGGCGACGAUCUGUAGCGGGUCUGAGAGGAUGAUCCGCCACACUGGGACUGAGACACGGCCCAGACUCCUACGGGAGGCAGCAGUGGGGAAUAUUGGACAAUGGGGGGAACCCUGAUCCAGCCAUGCCGCGUGUGUGAAGAAGGCCUUUUGGUUGUAAAGCACUUUAAGCGAGGAGGAGGCUACCGAGAUUAAUACUCUUGGAUAGUGGACGUUACUCGCAGAAUAAGCACCGGCUAACUCUGUGCCAGCAGCCGCGGUAAUACAGAGGGUGCAAGCGUUAAUCGGAUUUACUGGGCGUAAAGCGCGCGUAGGUGGCCAAUUAAGUCAAAUGUGAAAUCCCCGAGCUUAACUUGGGAAUUGCAUUCGAUACUGGUUGGCUAGAGUAUGGGAGAGGAUGGUAGAAUUCCAGGUGUAGCGGUGAAAUGCGUAGAGAUCUGGAGGAAUACCGAUGGCGAAGGCAGCCAUCUGGCCUAAUACUGACACUGAGGUGCGAAAGCAUGGGGAGCAAACAGGAUUAGAUACCCUGGUAGUCCACGCCGUAA